UGUUCAGGAGAAAAUUCCCUAUCGCUGCAAAUCAUACAGAGCUGGGCCAGAAGAUCAUGUCGUUAUACAAAGCUUCAAAGUGUAUGCCUUCGAGAUGAGCUCCAAUGGCACCACGGAGACUACCAUAUUUAUCAUUAAUUGGAAGAAUCCUUCACUCACAGCAUUCUGCCUUCCUUAACCAUUUGAAGAAAUACUGGAUGUCACUUAAAUCUUGGUCUCUGUAUAGUCCACACCAGAGACUGAUAGAUAAUAAAACUAAGGCACAGAGACCAGUGAUUUGCCACCUUAAUGGUAAGCAGUAGUGUUUGAUAAUGAAUCAAGCCCUCAAACUCCAAAUCCAUUACUCUUUCCACUGAAACAGCCCAAGUCUUCAUUCAUUCACUCAUUUGUUCCCAUUCAUUCCACAAAUACGAUCAAGUCCCUACUACACCUCCUAGAGUUGAGUUUGUGAGUAGAGAUUCUAUCCCUGGGAUUUUUCAGGGCUGUCUCCAUUUCAAAAUAAGAAAGUGUACUUUUUAACGAAGGAAAUUUUACCAAAGAAAUAUCCUUUAUCAGACCACAUUUCCCAAUUUUGGGUCAGAAAAUAUAGCUGCGGCAUGUUGUUAAGGGACCCAGGAAAAGAACUAUUUAUAAAUAAUGACUUGAGCUUACCUACUUUUUUUGUGGAGGAACCACGAUUUACAGCCAUGCCAGAUAUCACCACAAGGCCAUGU
rnacentral:lncRNA from 1 species